GAUGAAGAACGUAGUGAAAUGCGAUAAGUAAUGUGAAUUGCAGAAUUCAGUGAAUCAUCGAAUCUUUGAACGCACAUUGCGCCCGCCAGCAUUCUGGUGGGCAUGCCUGUUCGAGCGUCAUUUCAACCCUCAAGCUCUGCUUGGUGUUGGGGCCCUACGGUUGACGUAGGCCCUUAAAGGUAGUGGCGGACCCUCUCGGAGCCUCCUUUGCGUAGUAACUAACGUCUCGCAUUGGGAUUCGGAGGGACUCUUGCCGUAAAACCCCCAAAUUUUCUAAUGGUUGACCUCGGAUCAGGUAGGAAUACCCGCUGAACUUAAGCAUAUCAAUAAGCGGAGGA
rnacentral:misc_RNA from 1 species